rnacentral:tRNA from 1 species
UAUAUUUUGGUGUAUGAUGCACAGAAAUUUUUGAUAUUUCAAGAACAGUUUAAUUCUGUAAAAUGUAA